AGUGAACAGAAUGGCUUCCUGCGUUAGACUGGCUGGCUGCAUUUGGAAAUCUACAUAUGACUCUUCGUAAUUAGGGCAAAUGCAGCUUAUGAUACUACCUGCACCCAUGAAAUUAAGCAGAACCCAGAACCCAAGUCAUGAAGAGGAUAAAGCUUAAGAGACAUCUGUGAGGACCUGCAGAUAUGUUCCAAAAUUGGGAGCUGCUAUUUUACUCAUCGCCUCAGCUGAGGGAGAGAGAGCAAAGGGUAGUACAACACCUACUACAUGAUGGAAAUAAAAAAGAUGGGAUGAAAAUGGAAAGAG